CUUCCUGGCCUAGGUCAUCGCGCGAGACGAGGAAUCAGGGGAGACCACCAACACGACGGUCAACGUGGAGGUGCUGCGGCCGGGCCAGGCAGCCCCCGUGGACCCUUCCGAAGCCGGGCAGAGCCAGGGCCCGCUGGACGUGGGGAUCCUCGCUGGCAGCCUGGGGGCGCUGCUGCUGCUCACCGCCGCCAUCCUCCUCCUCCUCAUGCACGCCAUGAAGAAGAGGCAGCGCCAUCAGCAGGCCCUGGAGAGGGCCUCCCUGGCCAUCGAGAAGCACCCCAACGUGGUCAACGCCGGGAAGUCGGGCCCCCACCCCGGCAACGUUUACUUUCAGAACGAAGGCUACAGCGACCUG